CUUUAUUUAAGAACCGCUGAGUAAUGGAUCAGAGAGUUUACAAACUAGGCAUACGGAAAUUUUCUUUCAAAAUAUUCAGUAGUCUGAAGAGCGAAUGUCAUCUUCCAAUUAAACACUGCUGUAUGAACAUCAAUUUUUUAAAAUAUUUUUUUUUUUUUACAUGACUGUACUAGAAUGAAAUUGGAGUUCAUCUAGUUUAGCUAGACAUAUCGCAAGCCAAAGGAGCUCACAAAGAACCUGACUUUAUCUCCUAAAUAAUGUAUUAUUUGCAUUGCACAGCCACUCAAUCCCCAGAUUCGGCACUAAAGUAAUAGUGUGAUGAAGGCUUUGACAAGUAAUGCUACCAAAUGAAUCUGCUGCAAAUCACAUUUUUAUAGAUGUGCAUUUGUGUUCUGUUGUGUCAUGUGUCAUACAGAUAUGUCUGUAAUGCAAAGCAGCUGAAAAU